GAUGAACGCUGGCGGCGUGCCUAAUACAUGCAAGUCGAGCGAACCACUUCGGUGGUGAGCGGCGAACGGGUGAGUAACACGUAGGUGAUCUGCCCAUCAGACGGGGACAACGAUUGGAAACGAUCGCUAAUACCGGAUAGGACGAAAGUUUAAAGGUGCUUCUGGCACCGCUGAUGGAUGAGCCUGCGGCGCAUUAGCUAGUUGGUAGGGUAAAGGCCUACCAAGGCGACGAUGCGUAGCCGACCUGAGAGGGUGAACGGCCACACUGGGACUGAGACACGGCCCAGACUCCUACGGGAGACAGCAGUAGGGAAUCUUCGGCAAUGGGCGAAAGCCUGACCGAGCAACGCCGCGUGAAUGAUGAAGGCCUCGGUUGUAAUCUGUUAUAAGGAAGAACGACUUAGUAGGAAAUGGCUAGAGUGUGACGGUACCUUAUGAGAAAGCCACGGCUAACUACGUGCCAGCAGCCGCGGUAA
rnacentral:rRNA from 1 species